GAUGAAGAACGUAGCGAAAUGCGAUAAGUAGUGUGAAUUGCAGAAUUCAGUGAAUCAUCGAAUCUUUGAACGCACACUGCGCCCUUUGGUAUUCCUUAGGGCAUGCCUGUUCGAGCGUCAUUUAAACCUUCAAGCUAAGCUUGGUGUUGGGUGACUGUCCGCUUCACGGCGGACUCGCCUCAAAAUUAUUGGCGGCCGGUACAUUGGCUUCGAGCGCAGCAGAAACGCGAACUCGGGCCCGUCGUAUUGGCUCCCAGAAGCUAUCUUCACAAUUUUGACCUCGGAUCAGGUAGGGAUACCCGCUGAACUUAAGCAUAUCAAUAAGCGGAGGA
rnacentral:misc_RNA from 1 species